rnacentral:misc_RNA from 1 species
UGUCAAGAAAUAGAUGGGGAGAUUUUUGACCUUAAAGCAUGUCUUUAUCCCCCACAAGAUGUUACCGAUAUAAAGGAAGCUUUGGAGAAUAUAUCCCGCAUCAUCAGUGAAAUGCUGGCGGUGGUAGAAAGUUUCAAUACCUUUUUGGCAACUUUCUUCCAGGCAUGCCGUGGUUUGACGAGUUCAAUAAAGGAAAUGGAAACUGAGCUAG